UACGUAGGGUGCGAGCGUUAAUCGGAAUUACUGGGCGUAAAGGGUGCGCAGGCGGUUAUAUAAGACAGAUGUGAAAUCCCCGGGCUCAACCUGGGAACUGCGUUUGUGACUGUAUGACUAGAGUACGGUAGAGAGGGGUGGAAUUCCUGGUGUAGCAGUGAAAUGCGUAGAUAUCAGGAGGAACAUCGAUGGCGAAGGCAGCCCCUUGGACCUGUACUGACGCUCAUGCACGAAAGCGUGGGGAGCAAACAGG
rnacentral:rRNA from 2 species